UACGAAGGGGGCUAGCGUUGCUCGGAAUCACUGGGCGUAAAGCGCACGUAGGCGGCCUCUUAAGUCGGUGGUGAAAUCCUGGAGCUCAACUCCAGAACUGCCUUCGAUACUGAGAGUCUCGAGUCCGAGAGAGGUGAGUGGAACUGCGAGUGUAGAGGUGAAAUUCGUAGAUAUUCGCAAGAACACCAGUGGCGAAGGCGGCUCACUGGCUCGGUACUGACGCUGAGGUGCGAAAGCGUGGGGAGCAAGCAGG
rnacentral:rRNA from 1 species